GUAGGUGGCAAGCGUUGUCCGGAAUUAUUGGGCGUAAAGCGCGCGCAGGCGGGUUCUUUAAGUCUGAUGUGAAAGCCCACGGGCUCAACCGUGGAGGGUCAUUGGAAACUGGAGAACUUGAGUACAGAAGAGGAAAGCGGAAUUCCACGUGUAGCGGUGAAAUGCGUAGAGAUGUGGAGGAACACCAGUGGCGAAGGCGGCUUUCUGGUCUGUAACUGACGCUGAGGCGCGAAAGCGUGGGGAGCAAACAGGAUUAGAUACCCUGGUAGUCCACGCCGUAAACGAUGAGUGCUAAGUGUUAGGGGGUUUCCGCCCCUUAGUGCUGCAGCUAACGCACUAAGCACUCCGCCUGGGGAGUACGACCGCAAGGUUG
rnacentral:rRNA from 1 species